rnacentral:rRNA from 1 species
CAGUAGCCACGGUAAUACGGAGGGUGCAAGCGUUAAUCGGGAUUACUGGGCGUAAAGCGCACGCAGGCGGUUUGUUAAGUCAGAUGUGAAAUCCCCGAGCUUAACUUGGGAACUGCAUUUGAAACUGGCAAGCUAGAGUCUUGUAGAGGGGGGUAGAAUUCCAGGUGUAGCGGUGAAAUGCGUAGAGAUCUGGAGGAAUACCGGUGGCGAAGGCGGCCCCCUGGACAAAGACUGACGCUCAGGUGCGAAAGCGUGGGGAGCAAACAGGAUUAGAUACCCGCGUAGUCCCUGUCUCUUAUAC